rnacentral:rRNA from 1 species
UAGGGAAUCUUCCGCAAUGGACGAAAGUCUGAUGGAGCAACGCCGCGUGAGUGAAGAAGGAUUUCGGUUCGUAAAACUCUGUUGUUAGGGAAGAAAAAAUGUAUAGUAACUAUAUACAAAAGAGACGGUACCUACCAGAAAGCCACGGCUAACUACGUGCCAGCAGCCGCGGUAAUACGUAGGUGGCAAGCGUUGUCCGGAAUUAUUGGGCGUAAAGCGCGCGCAGGUGGUUUAGAAAGUCUGAUGUGAAAGCCCACGGCUCAACCGUGGAGGGUCAUUGGAAACUAAUAAACUUGAGUGCAGGAGAGAAAAGUGGAAUUCCUAGUGUAGCGGUGAAAUGCGUAGAGAUUAGGAGGAACACCGGUGGCGAAAGCGGCUUUUUGGCCUGCAACUGACACUGAGGCGCGAAAGCGUGGGGAGCAAACAGG